CCUACGGGAGGCAGCAGUGGGGAAUAUUUGGCAAUGGGCGCAAGCCUGACCCAGCAACGCCGCGUGAAGGAAGAAGGCUUUCGGGUUGUAAACUUCUUUUCUCAGGGACGAAACAAGUGACGGUACCUGAGGAAUAAGCCACGGCUAACUAGGUGCCAGCAGCCGCGGUAAUACGUAGGUGGCAAGCGUUAUUCGGAUUUACUGGGUGUAAAGGGAGUGGAGGCGGGACUGCAAGUCAGAUGUGAAGUCCACGGGCUCAACCUGUGGCCUGCAUUUGAAACUGUCGUUCUUGAGUACUGGAGAGGCAGACGGAAUUCCUGGUGUAGCAGUGAAAUGCGUAGAUAUUAGGAGGAACACCAGUGGCGAAGGCGGUCUGCUGGACAGCAACUGACGCUGAGGCGCGAAAGCGUGGGGAGCGAACAGGAUUAGAUACCCCAGUAGUC
rnacentral:rRNA from 1 species